GAUUCGUUUCCCCCAUCUCCCACGGCACCCAGCAGCAGAGUGAGCACCAGGAGCAGAGGGAGUGCUGGAUGAUGCUCCCUUGCGCCCUGCCCAGCCUCAGCUGCUCCGGAGCCAGCGGCUGCAUCCAGACCAUCGCCCUUCCCAACUGCCUCGUCCCCUUCCCGACUUGCCUCCAGCAUCUCAUAGCACCGAUUUCCACAGUUAAUUUAUCAGUUUAAUAACGGCAUCAUCAAGAAGGGUGAAGCAAGGCUAGCACUGAGCCAGCUCAACUUUAUAUCACCCAGAGUAAAAAUGUCAUGUAAGAUUUACUCAACAUGUAUUUUAUCAAAGUGCUCAAGCGCUGAAGUAAAAGGGCUUUUAGUUACAGCAGAUUGAAGGGGGUGGCAUGUGGGGAAGGAGGAGAGAACGGAUGGAUUUUAGCUCUGCCAGAAGCUCUUGUUGCUUUUGCAUCAACAUCUUUAUUUUCUAAGAGAGGAUUUAAGACCUUGUUGUGUAUAAACAACCAAGACUAGAGGAACUCGAACGGUGAGGAACUGUAAAAGGUUAUACUGAAAAAUGCUAUUAGUCUGCAUGAAAUAAGAUUCUUCUUGGAAACAUGACACUGAACAUUUAAGGGAGGGGGAGGAAUAGCUGUAAAAUGGCUAUAGAGAAGGGGUUACAAAUUAAAUAUAAUAAAAAGAAUCCUUUUGAAUGAGAUCUUAAUUUAACCUCAACAUCAUGACCAUAUAUUUCAGGAAAUUAAUCCCUUGGCCUCCAAUAAAUCCAAAGUAUAACACAACCACUUAUGGUUCAGCAAUGAGCCAUUAGUAUGGGCUACAGAUCCUGCAAAACCACCAGACCCAUUAUUUAGGAACGUGCUGAAUUACCCAGGUCUGAUGCAGCUCAUCAGCCACCGGGGCUGCCGGGCUGCCCGUAGCACUGGCCACGUCGAAUACCUGCACCCCGGCCCCAGGGGUCUUCUGGCUUUUUUCUCUGCCCCGUCCCACCCCUCCCAGGACUUUGUUCCUGAGCAAACAUCGCGCUCCCUGUCUGCAGGAAUAACCUGGGAGAGGUCUCAGGGAGGAGGUCAGCCUCGCUCGGUGCCAGAGCCCGGAGGAAAGCCCCGUGGGGCAGUGGAUGCCGUCCUGCCGGCGCCGUGCGGGGCUGCCAGCCUCUGCUAAACCAGCAUUCAUCCAGGGCUGGGUUUGUGCUGCUUUCAAAACAAAAUAAUUGGGGACAGAAGUGCAAGAGCAAACUUCCUCCGGAGCCUUUCCGAGCCCUCUCUGUUCCACUGCACGCGUUGCCAGCUUGGCACCAGGUUCUUCUGCAUAUGCCCCAAAAUGAGGAAAGUAACUUCUAAUGAGUCAAGAGUGUAACCUUGCUCUGAGAGCGAACAUAUGCCACCGCAGCUCCCUUGGCAAAGGCACUUGGAGCCAGUUGCUGGCGCUUCAGUGAGAGCUCUUCCCAUCCAGGCUGCAGACACUUCAGGAUAAGUGUCUUUCUUGAUAAGGAACACGUAGACCAGGUGAAGAGCACUGAAGCUUUGCAAGCUUCAAAGGACCUGCUGGCAGAGGCUGCUGCAUCCCUGCUUCAUGUCAGAAGCAGCCGGCCAUGCAAGCAGCCAGGUUUCUCCUAGAGAAAUGUCCCUGCGAACCGAUAUGGAUAUUGAGGAGCAAGCGGCGAUCUGGGUGGUGAAAGGCAUCAUUACAAACACCAGCUGCCCCGUGUGUUUAGACGGGGUGAUAAAAUCAGAGAGCACAUGGACACGGACAGCUGCAAAGCCCCCAGCAUAACCUUGAAUCUUGAGAGAGCCCACACCCUCUCCCCAGCUUUCCUUUCCAGACAGGAGAAAGCAGCAGAAGUGGGAAUGUGUCCAUCCUGAUGGGCAGUCCUGCAGAGAGCUGGCCCGGAGUAGUUCAAGCUGGAAAAUGUCUUUUUGACAGGGGAAAAAAACCACUUUGCUAUCUGAAAGCUUUUUGGUCAACAGCACAAAUGUAGGGCAAAAACCCAACCAUAAGUCCAAGAGCAUCCCAGGAAGCAGAAAAAAAGGCAAAAGUGCAAUUUUUGAUGGGGAAUCACAAACAGAUGGGGAGGAUCUUCCACCAACAACUCUGCAGUCCAGCAAACCCCUUUCACACGGUGCAACCCACCUCCAGGCUGGCUGACCCACCAUGGGGCCGACAGAAGCCAGGUGACCACAAAACACCACACCAACCACCUUCAAGCAGCAAGUUUCCUGCAUUUAUGGCGGGAUCUCCUAUUUGUGGCCACACGAGGGGUUUCCCACCUGCAAAAAUUGCCUGCAGUUGGAGAAGGCGUGAGGUGGGAACGAGGGGUGCUCUGCUUUCUCAUCAACCACCAAAGUUCUCAUUUAUUGCACAGCCCGGUUCCCAAAUCGCUCGCGUGGUUCUCGCUGAAGCGGAUGCUGUGGUUUUCUUGUCUGAAAUAAAUUGCGCAACAAAUUCAGCCCAGCGUUGAGAAGCAUUAGCUAAAGCAAAACAGCUCUAAUAGUGCUGGUCCUGUACGUCCCGCUGGGAGACUUUCAAUUGAUGGACUUACAAGAGAUGAAAUAUUCAGUAGGAUUAAGAAUUUGGAGGAGGUGGAAAUCAAAGUGAAAAAGAACACAAGUAAAAACAGCUUAAUCCAGCCUUCUAGCACUAAUUGUCAUUGGGAUUCAGGCUAAAACAAACACAACAAAACAAGCUGCCAAUUUGAAAGGGGAAGGAAGAGGGUGAAGACGAUUCCCAUCGCAUCGAAAGUAACCUUUUUAUCUCCGCGCCACCGCAGACGGCAGCAGGCAGGCAGGGACCACUCCGUCCCUCCUGCCCUCACCAUGGUCCAUGCAGGCAGCCCGCCCCGGCUGCAUGAGCAGGAUCCAUCCUUCCCCCAUGGGCAGCGAUGCUUUUAGCAAAGGUGCCACCAUAAAUGCCCCUGUCGGCUGGGCAGGAGCCCCCGGGCAGCCCCCGGGCUCUGCAGACCCCUCUCAUCGCUCGCAGCUUGCGCAGGAGGAGCAGAGCCCAACACGUUGCCCUCGCACUGCUGGGGCUGAGUCGCAGGAGAGGCAGAUUAUCUUACAGCCGAAGCCGAGUUAUCCAACACUGCAAUUUAAGUUGACAAUUACAUGGUAACCGACUUGCACACAAAGAGAGGCUCUGGAAGUAUUCCCAGAAUACAGAAGUCUGACAGUAUCCACCCAAUUUGUUGCAACAACAAAGAAUACUGGAAUAUGUCCUUUCAUUUGGCAGAGGAGUAUUUCAUUUUUUAAGGCUAGGUGGAGAAAUUUAGCCUGCUAUUUAAGGAGCAUGUUGUGCCUUGAGAGUGACAAGCCAAGAGUUUCACUAGAAAGCCAAACUCAAACACAAAUUGCAUCCUGCCACCCAGAAACUAAAUUGCACCAAAGAAAGAAAUUAGCAGGGCCGCAUCUUUUGUUAGGGCCUGCGUUUUCAGUCUUAGGAAGACAGAAGUGGGGGCCUCUUAGAGCUGCCUUGUAUGUUCCCCUUCUCUGCAUUAGCUCCAGGAAAAACAACAUCCCAGCAAGUACCUUUCAUUUUUUUAAGCCCUCCCUUCAUGGCAAAGCUGGUUCAUUUGCAGCUGCCUGGGCUGCUGGGACAGACCCAAGGUGGCAGCUAAGGGAACCAGCUCGGUUUACCCACUGGUGGGGCUCGGCACCUCCCCAGGGCUCCCAGCAGACAGGUUUCCAGGUUCCAGCUCAGGAUUUGGGAGAGCUGUGACAUGACCAUUUGCUCUGCAAGUGUCAAGAAACCACAAUGUCCCGCUCACGUGGGGAGGUGGUGAGCCAGGGCCGAUGGCACAGCAGCGACUGUGGGGACGCAGAAGGAACCACUCAUUAAUUUUCUCAUGUUUUCCUGAUAAUUUUAUAUCAGGGUCUUCUAUUAAAUACAUAAAAACCCAACACCCCCCCCAAAUUCUAACAAGGGAGAUUCUGUGUGCCAGAAGAUAACCCUGGCAAACUAUAACCCAAAGCACUUUGUGGGGCCACGGGCAGCACGUGCUGGCUGGGGAAGGAGCGCUCCGGCACCCGCUUUGGCUCUGGUGUAACACAAACAAGGAGGAAUAAAGACUUUACACCCCCAGCACAGACAUCCCUAAGACGACUUCCCCGUGUUACCCAACCCUCGGGCUGGCUGCGCGGGGUGAAGCAGGGGCGCUGACAGCCACGGGCUCGGCUCCAGGCACUCCCACGUCACUGAGCCCCUCCGCCUCCUUCAAAGAUCUGUGUCAAAAAAAGCAACACUGCAUGGAGUUUUUGGGAACAGCCACGUGCACCUUAUCCCUGCUAAGGAUUUUGCUCUUGGCUGCAGGUAAUAACCUGUGCCCCAAGUUGGCUCAGCAGGAGCAGCACCCGCUUCAAAACCAAGGCUGCACUGGCAUUCAGCAACAGCGGCACUGCCCCGAGGAGGAACCGAGGAGCCUCUCCCCUCCCUUCCACCUCCCGUUCUCUGCAUUAACCUUUUUGGAUCCUUUAUUAAAGCAACUGAACAGUU